CAACUACACAGCUUUACAGAACUUUAAUAAGCUCCGUAAAACUUCAGUUUGCUGGAUUCACUUCACCAAAGAAAUUUUGAUUCAUGGAUUUCACGUUUAUGUGAAUUAAGCAUGAUCCUGACUUUAAUCAAAUUCCUUUAUUAAAAAAAAAAGUAUUAUCCUUUGUCAAAAACAAUAUUUACAUCUUUAACUAAUUUGUACUCAUAUCAAUGUAAUGCUGACUCACCUCUGCUGCAGUAUUUAGCUCUAUAGUUAUCGAAGCCGUUUCAAGAUUGAACCAAAACUGGUAAGGUUCCAGUAUAAACAUAUUACAAAGUCAUUAUUACAGACAUUGUGGACAGCAUGUAAACUGUAUUUAUUACUGUGACACCCGAGAUGGAAAAAAAAAUAGUUUUGCUGCCUGUUUGAGUUAUGGGUAUACAUGAAUAGCAGUAGUCUGGUAAAUUGUAGCAGAGAUAUUUUAUUGUACUCAAACAGUGAUUUGUGGCCACUUGGAUAAGUAGUUUGGCUUUACUGGGGAAGUAAAUGUCAGUGAUCAUUGUAAAGCGAUUUGUGCAUCUGCUAGAUGAAAAGAAUGCUACAGAAAUACAAAAAAAAACAACCAACUUGCCAUUCAUUCCAAAAUGCUUCUGUCACUUGUCUAAACAAAUAUCUCAAACUGGUAUUUCAUGUUUAUGUUCCUGUUUACUGUGUCCUUUCUUCAGCAGCUGCUAAUGUAUGAACCAAAAUUGUCUUGAAAAUGUUAUGAAUUUUGGUUUUACAACUUGUGCAUAUUUGCUUAUUUUUGUGCAUAUUGAAAUGUCUGUAUGAGUGUGUUUGCAUCAUUUCAAAAGCAGCGUAUCCAUUCCUACUUUACUGUGUAUGACAGAUGUCAGAUGUGUGAGCAGACGUUGGUGGAAGGUGACACCUGCAGUAAGUGUCACACAUUAGACACUGUGCUUAUUAUAGAGGACACCUUGUUUAGUUGACAAUAAAGCAGAAUGAUGGCUUUUUCCCUGUUCA